AGUCGAGCGGUAAGGCCCUUCGGGGUACACGAGCGGCGAACGGGUGAGUAACACGUGAGCAACCUGCCCCUGACUCUGGGAUAAGCGGUGGAAACGCCGUCUAAUACCGGAUACGACCUUCCGCCUCAUGGUGGAGGGUGGAAAGUUUUUUCGGUCAGGGAUGGGCUCGCGGCCUAUCAGCUUGUUGGUGGGGUAACGGCCUACCAAGGCGAUUACGGGUAGCCGGCCUGAGAGGGCGACCGGCCACACUGGGACUGAGACACGGCCCAGACUCCUGCGGGAGGCAGCAGUGGGGAAUAUUGCGCAAUGGGCGAAAGCCUGACGCAGCGACGCCGCGUGGGGGAUGACGGCCUUCGGGUUGUAAACCUCUUUUACCACCAACGCAGGCUCCGGGUUCUCUCGGGGUUGACGGUAGGUGGGGAAUAAGGACCGGCUAACUACGUGCCAGCAGCCGCGGUAAUACGUAGGGUCCGAGCGUUGUCCGGAAUUAUUGGGCGUAAAGAGCUCGUAGGCGGCGUGUCGCGUCUGCUGUGAAAGACCGGGGCUUAACUCCGGUUCUGCAGUGGAUACGGGCAUGCUAGAGGUAGGUAGGGGAGACUGGAAUUCCUGGUGUAGCGGUGAAAUGCGCAG
rnacentral:rRNA from 1 species